rnacentral:rRNA from 1 species
UACAGGGGGGGCAAGCGUUGUUCGGAAUUACUGGGCGUAAAGGGCUCGUAGGUGGCCAACUAAGUCAGACGUGAAAUCCCCAGGCUUAACCUGGGAACUGCGUCUGAUACUGGAUGGCUAGAGUUUGGGAGAGGGAUGCGGAAUUCCAGGUGUAGCGGUGAAAUGCGUAGAUAUCUGAAGGAACAUCAGUGGCGAAAGCGACUUCCUGGACCAAUACUGACGCUCAUGUGCGAAAGCGUGGGGAGCAAACAGG